rnacentral:rRNA from 1 species
AUACGGAGGGUGCAAGCGUUAUCCGGAAUCAUUGGGUUUAAAGGGUCCGUAGGCGGACUAUUAAGUCAGAGGUGAAAUCCCACAGCUCAACUGUGGAACUGCCUUUGAUACUGGUAGUCUUGAGUUAUAUUGAAGUAGAUAGAAUGUGUAGUGUAGCGGUGAAAUGCAUAGAUAUUACACAGAAUACCGAUUGCGAAGGCAGUCUACUACGUAUAUACUGACGCUAAGGGACGAAAGCGUGGGGAGCGAACAGGAUUAGAAACCCUAGUAGUCC